rnacentral:tRNA from 1 species
GAGAAAUUAGUUAAUAACUAUAACAUAAGCUUGUCAAGCCUAAAUAACUAAAUAAUUUAGUAUUUCUCA